AUUGAACGCUGGCGGCAUGCCUUACACAUGCAAGUCGAACGGCAGCACGGGUGCUUGCACCUGGUGGCGAGUGGCGAACGGGUGAGUAAUACAUCGGAACGUACCUUAUCGUGGGGGAUAACGCAGCGAAAGCUGCGCUAAUACCGCAUACGCCCUGAGGGGGAAAGCGGGGGAUCGAAAGACCUCGCGCGAUUAGAGCGGCCGAUGCCUGAUUAGCUUGUUGGUGGGGUAAAAGCCCACCAAGGCGACGAUCAGUAGCUGGUCUGAGAGGACGAUCGGCCAAACUGGGAAUGAGAAACGGCCCAGACUCCUACGGGGGGCAGCAGUGGGGAAUUUUGGACAAUGGGGGCAACCCUGAUCCAGCAAUGCCGCGUGAGUGAAGAAGGCCUUCGGGUUGUAAAGCUCUUUUGUCAGGGAAGAAACACCGGCUCUAACACAGUCCGGGAAUGACGGUACCUGAAGAAUAAGCACCGGCUAACUACGUGCCAGCCGCCGCAGUAA
rnacentral:rRNA from 1 species